rnacentral:rRNA from 1 species
UACAGAGGGUGCGAGCGUUAAUCGGAAUUACUGGGCGUAAAGCGUGCGCAGGCGGCUUUGCAAGACAGAUGUGAAAUCCCCGGGCUUAACCUGGGAACUGCAUUUGUGACUGCAUGGCUAGAGUGCGGCAGAGGGGGAUGGAAUUCCGCGUGUAGCAGUGAAAUGCGUAGAUAUGCGGAGGAACACCGAUGGCGAAGGCAAUCCCCUGGGCCUGCACUGACGCUCAUGCACGAAAGCGUGGGGAGCAAACAGG